AGUGAACGCUGGCGGUAGGCCUAACACAUGCAAGUCGAACGGCAGCACAGUAAGAGCUUGCUCUUACGGGUGGCGAGUGGCGGACGGGUGAGGAAUACAUCGGAAUCUACUUUUUCGUGGGGGAUAACGUAGGGAAACUUACGCUAAUACCGCAUACGACCUACGGGUGAAUGCAGGGGAUCUUCGGACCUUGCGCGAUUGAAUGAGCCGAUGUCGGAUUAGCUAGUUGGCGGGGUAAAGGCCCACCAAGGCGACGAUCCGUAGCUGGUCUGAGAGGAUGAUCAGCCACACUGGAACUGAGACACGGUCCAGACUCCUACGGGAGGCAGCAGUGGGGAAUAUUGGGCAAUGGGCGCAAGCCUGAUCCAGCCAUGCCGCGUGGGUGAAGAAGGCCUUCGGGUUGUAAAGCCCUUUUGUUGGGAAAGAAAAGCAGCAGAUUAAUACCCCGCUGUUCUGACGGUACCCAAAGAAUAAGCACCGGCUAACUUCGUG
rnacentral:rRNA from 1 species